rnacentral:rRNA from 1 species
GCUGUGAGGCAUGCUGGAGGUAUCAGAAGUGCGAAUGCUGACAUAAGUAACGAUAAAGCGGGUGAAAAGCCCGCUCGCCGGAAGACCAAGGGUUCCUGUCCAACGUUAAUCGGGGCAGGGUGAGUCGACCCCUAAGGCGAGGCCGAAAGGCGUAGUCGAUGGGAAACAGGUUAAUAUUCCUGUACUUGGUGUUACUGCGAAGGGGGGACGGAGAAGGCUAUGUUGGCCGGGCGACGGUUGUCCCGGUUUAAGCGUGUAGGCUGGUUUUCCAGGCAAAUCCGGAAAACCAAGGCUGAGGCGUGAUGACGAGGCACUACGGUGCUGAAGUGACAAAUGCCCUGCUUCCAGGAAAAGCCUCUAAGCAUCAGGUAACAUCAAAUCGUACCCCAAACCGACACAGGUGGUCAGGUAGAGAAUACCAAGGCGCUUGAGAGAACUCGGGUGAAGGAACUAGGCAAAAUGGUGCCGUAACUUCGGGAGAAGGCACGCUGAUAUGUAGGUGAAGCGACUUGCUCGUGGAGCUGAAAUCAGUCGAAGAUACCAGCUGGCUGCAACUGUUUAUUAAAAACACAGCACUGUGCAAACACGAAAGUGGACGUAUACGGUGUGACGCCUGCCCGGUGCCGGAAGGUUAAUUGAUGGGGUUAGCGGCAACGCGAAGCUCUUGAUCGAAGCCCCGGUAAACGGCGGCCGUAACUAUAACGGUCCUAAGGUAGCGAAAUUCCUUGUCGGGUAAGUUCCGACCUGCACGAAUGGCGUAAUGAUGGCCAGGCUGUCUCCACCCGAGACUCAGUGAAAUUGAACUCGCUGUGAAGAUGCAGUGUACCCGCGGCAAGACGGAAAGACCCCGUGAACCUUUACUAUAGCUUGACACUGAACAUUGAGCCUUGAUGUGUAGGAUAGGUGGGAGGCUUUGAAGUGUGGACGCCAGUCUGCAUGGAGCCGACCUUGAAAUACCACCCUUUAAUGUUUGAUGUUCUAACGUUGGCCCGUAAUCCGGGUUGCGGACAGUGUCUGGUGGGUAGUUUGACUGGGGCGGUCUCCUCCUAAAGAGUAACGGAGGAGCACGAAGGUUGGCUAAUCCUGGUCGGACAUCAGGAGGUUAGUGCAAUGGCAUAAGCCAGCUUGACUGCGAGCGUGACGGCGCGAGCAGGUGCGAAAGCAGGUCAUAGUGAUCCGGUGGUUCUGAAUGGAAGGGCCAUCGCUCAACGGAUAAAAGGUACUCCGGGGAUAACAGGCUGAUACCGCCCAAGAGUUCAUAUCGACGGCGGUGUUUGGCACCUCGAUGUCGGCUCAUCACAUCCUGGGGCUGAAGUAGGUCCCAAGGGUAUGGCUGUUCGCCAUUUAAAGUGGUACGCGAGCUGGGUUUAGAACGUCGUGAGACAGUUCGGUCCCUAUCUGCCGUGGGCGCUGGAGAACUGAGGGGGGCUGCUCCUAGUACGAGAGGACCGGAGUGGACGCAUCACUGGUGUUCGGGUUGUCAUGCCAAUGGCACUGCCCGGUAGCUAAAUGCGGAAGAGAUAAGUGCUGAAAGCAUCUAAGCACGAAACUUGCC